GGUCCCAUGAUGUAACGGUCAGCACUCAGGACUCUGACUCCUGCAAUCUGAGUUCAAAUCUUGGUGGGACCG
rfam:Chelonia mydas contig218524, whole genome shotgun sequence.